CUAUCAGCUUGUUGGUGAGGUAAUGGCUCACCAAGGCUUUGACGGGUAGCCGGCCUGAGAGGGUGACCGGUCACACUGGGACUGAGACACGGCCCAGACUCCUACGGGAGGCAGCAGUGGGGAAUAUUGGACAAUGGGCGGAAGCCUGAUCCAGCAACGCCGCGUGAGGGAUGACGGCUUUCGGGUUGUAAACCUCUUUCAGUACCGACGAAGCGAAAGUGACGGUAGGUACAGAAGAAGGACCGGCCAACUACGUGCCAGCAGCCGCGGUAAUACGUAGGGUCCGAGCGUUGUCCGGAAUUAUUGGGCGUAAAGGGCUCGUAGGCGGUUUGUCGCGUCGGGAGUGAAAACAGCGGGCUUAACUCGUUGCUUGCUUCCGAUACGGGCAGACUAGAGGUAUGCAGGGGAGAAUGGAAUUCCUGGUGUAGCGGUGAAAUGCGCAGAUAUCAGGAGGAACACCGGUGGCGAAGGCGGUUCUCUGGGCAUUACCUGACGCUGAGGAGCGAAAGUGUGGGGAGCGAACAGGAUUAGAUACCCUGGUAGUCCACACCGUAAACGUUGGGCGCUAGGU
rnacentral:rRNA from 1 species